rnacentral:lncRNA from 1 species
GAUGAAUCUGUUGAAAAUUAUUUGCUCCAACGUUAUUGUCCUCAUUCAUCACUGCAUGGAAAAAGUGGAGAGCAGAACCCUGCUAACGCAUGACGACUAUUACCCUGAGUACGUGCCAGAUCGUCAGCCCUGGGACGUUGCCCGUAGCCUCUGCCUCCAGCGUUCAGGGUCCUUUGUGAUGGUGUCCAGUACUGAAGAGAUUCAAAAGCUGAACAGUUUCUGCGAUCC